rnacentral:lncRNA from 1 species
GUGAAAGAGUCCUUGGGACAGCAGGACUCCUUUGUUUUGACUGAUAGUCAGGGCAACAGAAUAUGUGAUUCUGAUGGAACAAGAGGGUCAGCAUUUUGGAAACAAAGUACCAGAAAAAUAUUUGCUGUGCCAGAAGAACAGAUGGAGCUGUUACAGCCGACAAGAAGAUGCUGGAUUCCAAGACGUGAUUGCAAAUAUUGAAGAAGUUGUCGAAGCAGCUCAAGGACUUAAAGACGUGUCCCAAAUGAUCAGGGAAUUCUCUGGUUUUACCCAUAACACGCUCACAACCAC